rnacentral:pre_miRNA from 1 species
UCUUCAUUUUCCCACAUUCUCUCAUCGGUCAGAGAGGCGAGAGAGUGUGUGAAAUGAAGAGA